ACGUGGCGGCGUGCUUAACACAUGCAAGUCGAACGAUGAAGCCUUUCGGGGUGGAUUAGUGGCGAACGGGUGAGUAACACGUGGGCAAUCUGCCCUGCACUCUGGGACAAGCCCUGGAAACGGGGUCUAAUACCGGAUAAUACCUGUCGGGGCAUCUCGACGGGUUCAAAGCUCCGGCGGUGCAGGAUGAGCCCGCGGCCUAUCAGCUUGUUGGUGAGGUAGUGGCUCACCAAGGCGACGACGGGUAGCCGGCCUGAGAGGGCGACCGGCCACACUGGGACUGAGACACGGCCCAGACUCCUACGGGAGGCAGCAGUGGGGAAUAUUGCACAAUGGGCGCAAGCCUGAUGCAGCGACGCCGCGUGAGGGAUGACGGCCUUCGGGUUGUAAACCUCUUUCAGCAGGGAAGAAGCGCAAGUGACGGUACCUGCAGAAGAAGCGCCGGCUAACUACGUGCCAGCAGCCGCGGUAUACGUAAGGCGCAAGCGUUGUCCGGAAUUAUUGGGCGUAAAGAGCUUCGUAGGCGGUCUUGUCGCGUCGGAUGUGAAAAGCCCCGGGGGCUUUAACCCCGGGUUCUUGCAUUUCGAAUUACCGGGCAGACUUAGAGUUGUGGUUAAGGGGGAAGAAUCCGGAAUUUCCUGGGUGUAGCC
rnacentral:rRNA from 1 species